rnacentral:rRNA from 1 species
GAUGAACGCUGGCGGCGUGCCUAAUACAUGCAAGUCGAGCGAACGGACGAGAAGCUUGCUUCUCUGAUGUUAGCGGCGGACGGGCGAGUAACACGUGGAUAACCUACCUAUAAGACUGGGAUAAAUUCGGGAAACCGGAGCUAAUACCGGAUGAUAUUCUGAACCGCAUGGUUCAAAAGUGAAAGACGGUCUUUCUGUCACUUAUAGAUGGAUCCGCGCUGCAUUAGCUAGUUGGUAAGGUGACGGCUUACCAAGGCAACGAUGCAUAGCCGACCUGAGAGGGUGAUCGGCCACACUGGAACUGAGACACGGUCCAGACUCCUACGGGACGCAGCAGUAGGGAAUCUUCCGCAAAGGGCGAAAGCCUGACGGAGCAACGCCGCGUGAGUGAUGAAGGUCUUCGGAUCGUAAAACUCUGUUAUUAGGGAAGAACAUAUGUGUAAGUAACUGUGCACAUCUUGACGGUACCUAAUCAGAAAGCCACGGCUAACUACGUG